UACGUAGGGGGCAAGCGUUGUCCGGAUUUAUUGGGCGUAAAGGGUGCGUAGGUGGUCGGGUAAGUCUGAUGUGAAAUCUCUGGGCUCAACCCAGAAAUGGCAUUGGAUACUAUUCGGCUAGAGGAGUGGAGGGGGGACUGGAAUACUUGGUGUAGCAGUGAAAUGCGUAGAUAUCAAGUGGAACACCAGUGGCGAAGGCGAGUCCCUGGACACUUCCUGACACUGAGGCACGAAAGCUAGGGGAGCAAACAGG
rnacentral:rRNA from 1 species